CGGCCCGCAUUGGCUUAGCGCUGGACUACAAGUCCGGCGUGCAACGCGGCAGAAGCGCCCGCCCGUCAGUGUAGUGUGAGCCUCCCCGUGGCGCGCUGCAUGCUGGGGGCUGUAGGAGCCGCCGCGCGUGGGUGCGGCGCUAGGCGCUGAGGGCUCGCGGCGCCCGGCGGCUGCUUGGCUCGCGGGGGAGCGGAAACCGGGUUACCCCGUCCGCUGUCUCGGUCUGCCCCGUGUCCCGAACCCCGCAGUGUGCGGGCGGGACGGUGUUGGGCUCCCGCCCCCGCGGGAUUGCCCUGGAGUGUCCCGGGACUAGAUAGGCAUCUGCAGGAGACUGCUGAAAGCAGAUAACGGGGCAUUCAUUCAAAUGAAUAUUAAAUGUUGAAUCGGAUUUAGAAAGGAGCCCAUCGGGUUUUUAAAAUGUCAUAGUUAUGUGCCCCUACCGCCCACGGGGCCAGAUUAACGUAGGCAAACUAGGCACGUGCCUAGGGCCCUAAGUGUGGAAGGGGCCCAGUUACGCUUAUUUUCCAUAUAAUUAUUGAGUGACAAAAAAUAUAAACAUACGGUAUUAAGUGGGUCCCACAAGUUUGCCCAGGGCCCACUCGAGAACCCUGCCCCUGCCCCCUGCAGCCCCAGCGCUGCAGGCACCCACGGACACACUUGCACACAUGCACGUGCACACGCUGCCUGGCUCAUGAACAGAGCAUGUGAUUCCCCGCCUCCAAUCAACUUCUUGUGCUGCCCCUCAGCCUCAAGCAGGUCCUUGCUAGGGCAGAGGCACAGAAACAUCCCGGAUGUUUGCUGAUAUUUUAAAAAACUGCCCAGACAGAGAUGGAAAGACCCCAAAAGAGGACAUGGCUGAGAAAACCUGGAUGUAUGACCAUGGUGAAGUAUGCAGAGAAGAGGCAUUUUAUUUCCAGUAGUAGCCUUCUGUACAAAUUGAAGCCUCGAGACCAUGAAUUGACUUGGCAGAGUUCCCCUUCCUAUUGGGGACUUUGAAACUUCCUAUGUGAAUAUACCAUAGAGCCCAUACCAUACAUGGAGUUAUGAAGGAACAUGUGUUGACAAGAACCAGCAGGUCAGCACUGAAGGACAUUCUCGCCUCUUCCUUAUUCUCCUGUCAUGGCUGAGAAGAUAAGUUUUUUAGUGCAAAACUUCAUGCAAUGGAUAAACGGUUAGCAACCAGCACAUAUUGGAAUGGCUGUUCUGAUUCUAUGACAUAUUACUAUAGUUGUACCAACAUGAGCCUUAGGACUUCAGUGGGCUCAAUUCUUUUCUUCCAAUAAAUAUGCCAUUGAUCAAAGGGAAGAAUUCUGCUGAUGCAUGUCACAACCCAAGGGUGUGAUUUUUGUUUUGUGAGUGCUUCGGCACUGCUAAAUUGUUCCCGCUAAAUUGCAGCUUCUUUGCACGGUGGAGUUUUCUGCUGCAGAGGAGAACCCUGGUGCAAAAGAAUUCCCGCCACCAGUAGCUUUCUUUGCAGGGUGCAUUUCUUUGUUGCAGCACAGAAAUGCACGUUGCAAGGAGUUCCCGCCAUUUGUAUUCAAAUUUGUGCCCCACCAUUGGCCAGUUCUAAAUUAUUCCUACGUGGCGGCUAGCGAUUGGCUUGCUAGCUGUAUAAGAGGCUUGAGUGGUUUCCGCCCAAGUUGGAGGACUCCAUGAACACCAGGAGGAGGAGACUUCACGUCUUGUGAAGAUCUCUAAGCGCUGCGAAGCUAUUGGACCCAGCGUAUUCAAAGAAGGCAACAGGGGUCUGAUCAGCCUCUAGCCUCUCCCCGUCGCCGAGCGCAAUCCUCGACGUAUCCCUCUUCCCUGCGCGCACAAGUUCCAUGGAGCCUAGCAAACUUCGUGUGAGUCUAUUCAGAGCUCUUUUCUUCGAGUACUUUCUUCGGUUGGCGCGACGGGCUCGCGGUUUAGAGCCUCCAACCGGAUGGGCUAGAAGAAUGUUCACGGGAAGGAACUCUAGUCCACCUCUCUUCUUUUCUAUCUGUAACUGUAACUCAAGCAAGUUUUCCUGCCUGCACUGCGACCAUCUUCGGUGUAAGUAAAAUAAUCUUA